ensembl:snRNA U4 U4 spliceosomal RNA
AGCUUGGCACAGUGGCAGUCUCGUAGCCAAUGAGGUUUAUCCGAGGUGCGAUUAUUGCUAAUUGAAAAUAACCUUUAAGGGGUGCUUGGGAGGUUCGGUCGGUUAAGCAUCGGACUCUUGAUUUCAGCUCAGGUCAUGAUC